GGUUCUGCAAUGUGCGGAAUAUGAGUGGCGCCUUGCAAAUCUGUAAUGGGCCAUGUAAUUAUGCUCUAUGCUUUCUCUGUUUUUUUUUUUAGGUAUGCUCUGUGCUAUUAUUUAAUUUGAAAAUGUAGCAAAUUUGUGUUUUAUGCAUGAACAUAAAAUCAGGAUUGAGUCGAUGCAUCUUUGCGAAAGCCCAUUUUUUAAACAUAUAAAAUAAGUAUAUUUUUAAGUUUAUUCUUUCCACGAAAUGGGGUUAUGAAGAAACACCAUUUCUAUUGUUGUUUUUGUUAAAUAAUUUUUACAUUAUA
rnacentral:lncRNA from 1 species